GUGUGUCCGAUUAAAUCAAAUACAGCGUGAGGCUCGUUCACAACAGCUAAUAAGACAAUCCAGCAGGAUGGCCCUGAACUCCUCGUCCUCACACAGAUCUUUAAGUGACAAGGAUGAAGAACAGGCACGCUGCAGCAUGAAGAGGCUGCCAUCCAUCUGAAUCUCUCAGGUCCAUGCGAGCUCCCCCCUCCAGAAGCAGCUCUGCAGCCUGCACGUAGCCGUUUGCUGCUGCGAUGUGGAGCUACAAGGGCAGAGGAGAAAGCAGGAAGUGGAGCACACUGCUACAUGUGAAGGGUGAACUCAGGCUUCACAGCACAUUGAAGGAUGUUAAGGUUCAUCAGCUCCUGCAGGGCUCAG